UUCCGGCGGAAGGUGGACUCUGGGCUUAGGGACCUCCGCGGCCCACCCUUCCCUGCAGAAACUAUGGGUAGGACUUUGCUAAGACGCGCGAGUCUGAAUGAGGUGGAGGACGAUCCUGCAAAACGGCAUAAACUUUAAUAAAAAGACGGGUUCAACUGCCGAGAGCCAACCCUUCCCCACAAGGGCAGCCCAGGCCGGCCAGUCUCCCCAACAACGGAAGGACGUCCCCAAGGCGGUCUUCUGACGGCGACAGCCCCGUGCCUUGGGCACUCGGCUCCUCUGGGUAAACCAGCUCGGUCUCCGUCGCAGCUACUCAACCCCAGCACCAUGAAAACAGACAUAGACAGACAACCUGCACAUACCUGCGCAACCUGUGAGAUGGCCCGAGAGCCUGAAGGUGCCAACCGUCCCCGGGGGUCACGGACCCUGGGUCCCAUCUCUGGGUCAGGACUGGAAGGUGCCUCCCUCCCCCACCCUGGGGGGCAGGCCAGUGUCAGCACAAAGAAGGCUUAGCCUGGUGGACACAGCAGCAGUCCUCAGGCAGGUCCAGAACCAGCCAUGUAGGAGAGGGGCUUGAUCAGGCCCUGCCCUGGCUGACAGAACUCGUUCUCACCAACAACAGUCUUGUGGAGCUGGGCGAUCUGGACCCCUUGGCAUCUCUCAGGUCACUGACUUACCAAAGGUACCGGGCUCGCUCGUGGUGGAAACAUGGAAGCCCUUCGACAUGACACCCUUCCGGCCUUGACCUUAGAGCCUCCAGUUCAUAAAAAUCUUCUGAGAAAUCCCGUAACAAAUAAGAAGCAUUACAGACUGUGUGUAAUUUAUAAAGCCCCACAAGUCAGAGGAUGGAUUUCCAGAAGGUGAAACUAAAAGUUCGAUCCAGGUGCCAGUUUGCUGACUGACAAAAAGAAAGGAGGCCCGUCCCCGGGGGAUGUGGAAGCGAUCAAGGCCCCACCGAUGAUGGCGAAGAGGAGAUGGAAGGGGACACAGUCACAAACGGGUCCUGAGCAGUGAGGCCUGGGUAUCCACAGGCCAUGCAGGAUCGGCCUGGGAUAAAUCCUGCGUUUUGAAUGUGGAACAGUAGCCUCGUUUGUGUCGGCAAAGAGUCCCCGAGCAUUGUUGAAAUGCCGCAAGCUGCUGCGGGUCAUUUCUUAAUAUACAAUUGGAAAUUCAGAUGCCUGUUUUCUACAAAGAGUAACAAUAAAGGACACUCUCUG